AGCGAACGCUGGCGGCAGGCCUAACACAUGCAAGUCGAACGAACCUUUCGGGGUUAGUGGCGGACGGGUGAGUAACACGUGGGAACGUGCCUUUAGGCUCGGAAUAACUCAGGGAAACUUGUGCUAAUACCGAAUGUGUCCUUCGGGGGAAAGAUUUAUCGCCUUUAGAGCGGCCCGCGUCUGAUUAGCUAGUUGGUUGAGGUAAUGGCUCACCAAGGCGACGAUCAGUAGCUGGUCUGAGAGGAUGAUCAGCCACAUUGGGACUGAGACACGGCCCAAACUCCUACGGGAGGCAGCAGUGGGGGAUCUUGCGCAAUGGGCGAAAGCCUGACGCAGCCAUGCCGGGUGAAUGAUGAAGGUCUUAGGAUUGUAAAAUUCUUUCACCGGGGACGAUAAUGACGGUACCCGGAGAAGAAGCCCCGGCUAACUUCGUG
rnacentral:rRNA from 1 species